rnacentral:rRNA from 1 species
UACGGAAGGUCCAGGCGUUAUCCGGAUUUAUUGGGUUUAAAGGGAGCGUAGGCGGACGAUUAAGUCAGCUGUGAAAGUUUGCGGCUCAACCGUAAAAUUGCAGUUGAAACUGGUUGUCUUGAGUGCACGCAGGGAUGUUGGAAUUCAUGGUGUAGCGGUGAAAUGCUUAGAUAUCAUGAAGAACUCCGAUCGCGAAGGCAUAUGUCCGGAGUGCAACUGACGCUGAGGCUCGAAAGUGCGGGUAUCGAACAGG